UACGUAGGGUGCGAGCGUUGUCCGGAAUUACUGGGCGUAAAGAGCUCGUAGGCGGUUUGUCGCGUCUGCUGUGAAAACGCGAGGCUCAACCUCGCGCCUGCAGUGGGUACGGGCAGACUAGAGUGCGGUAGGGGAGAUUGGAAUUCCUGGUGUAGCGGUGGAAUGCGCAGAUAUCAGGAGGAACACCGAUGGCGAAGGCAGAUCUCUGGGCCGUAACUGACGCUGAGGAGCGAAAGCGUGGGGAGCGAACAGU
rnacentral:rRNA from 1 species